AGCUGACGAGUCCCAAAUAGGACAAAACGAGCGUCCU
rnacentral:hammerhead_ribozyme from 1 species